CCCUUAGACGUUCUGGGCCGCACGCGCGCUACACUGAUGAAUGCAACGAGCUCUACCCUUGACCGAAAGGCCCGGGUAAACUUGUGAAACUUCAUCGUGAUGGGGAUAGAUUAUUGCAAUUAUUAAUCUUCAACGAGGAAUUCCUAGUAAGCGCGAGUCAUCAGCUCGCGUUGAUUACGUCCCUGCCCUUUGUACACACCGCCCGUCGCUCCUACCGAUUGAAUGGUCCGGUGAAAUCUUCGGAUUGCUGACCAAGAUCCAGCAAUGGAGCUUGGUUGCGAGAAGUUGAUUAAACCUUAUUAUUUAGAGGAAGGAGAAGUCGUAACA
rnacentral:rRNA from 1 species